CGGACGGGUGAGUAACGCGUAGGUAACCUGCCCCAUACAGAGGGAUAGCCACUGGAAACGGUGAUUAAUACCUCAUAAAACUGAGAAUACACAUGUAUACUCAGCCAAAGAUUUAUCGGUAUGGGAUGGACCUGCGUCUGAUUAGUUAGUUGGUGAGGUAACGGCUCACCAAGGCGACGAUCAGUAGCCGACCUGAGAGGGUGAUCGGCCACAUUGGAACUGAGACACGGUCCAAACUCCUACGGAAGGCAGCAG
rnacentral:rRNA from 1 species